ACUUAAGAAUAGGAUUUAAGUCCAACCUAAAGUCUUAUAAAUAACUUUUAAUUCAUAAAUAAAAAUUUUACUUUAGGGGCAUUCAAGUAAGGUACAGCCUACUUGAAACAGGAUACAACCUCCAAAGAAGGGUAAUUUAUUUUAAAAUAAUUAAGCAGGCUUAAAAGCAGCCACCUUUAAGAUAGCGUCAAAGCUCCGUUAUUUAUUUCCCCUAAUUUCCCCAAUUACCUAGAACCCUCUAUUAGUAUUAAGUACUUCUAUAAUUUUAUAGAACAUUUUAUGUUAAAACUAGUAACAAGAAAAAGAAUUUCACUUUAAUGCAAGUGUAGAUCAGAUAGGACACACCACUGACCAUUAACAUACCUUCAGAAAAAUUAGCAACUUUACAAGAAAAACUUAAUUUCCAUUAUGUUAACCUAACACCAGAGCAUUACAAGUAAGAUUAAAAGAAAAAGAAGGAACUCGGCAAGUAUUAACCCCGCCUGUUUACCAAAAACAUCGCCUCUUGAUCAAUUAUAAGAGGUCCAGCCUGCCCAGUGACUUUGUUCAACGGCCGCGGUAUCCUAACCGCGCGAAGGUAGCGUAAUCACUUGUUCUUUAAAUCAGGACUAGUAUGAACGGCAUCACGAGGGUUUCACUGUCUCCUUUUUCUAAUCAGUGAAUCUAAUCUCCCCGUGAAGAAGCGGGGAUAAACUUAUAAGACGAGAAGACCCUAUGGAGCUUUAAACUAAAUGACAUUUGCUUUAACUCCCGAUACUUCAGAGUAAUCAACACUCACUAUAGCCUUUUGAUCAUUAGUUUUAGGUUGGGGUGACCACGGAGAAAAAAAUAACCUCCACAUUGAACGGGGUUUAGACCCCCUGAGCCACGAGCAACAACUCUACGCACCAAUAAAUUGACAUUAAUUGACCCAAUAUAUUGAUCAACGAACCAAGUUACCCUAGGGAUAACAGCGCAAUCCGCUUUAAGAGCUCCUAUCGACAAGCGGGUUUACGACCUCGAUGUUGGAUCAGGGUAUCCUAGUGGUGCAGCCGCUACUAAUGGUUCGUUUGUUCAACGAUUAAAACCCU
rnacentral:rRNA from 1 species